rnacentral:rRNA from 1 species
UACAGAGGUCUCAAGCGUUGUUCGGAUUCAUUGGGCGUAAAGGGUGCGUAGGUGGCGAGGUAAGUCAGGUGUGAAAUUUCGGAGCUCAACUCCGAAACUGCAUUUGAUACUGCCUUGCUUGAGGACUGGAGAGGAGACUGGAAUUCACGGUGUAGCAGUGAAAUGCGUAGAUAUCGAGAGGAACACCAGUGGCGAAGGCGAGUCUCUGGACGACUCCUGACACUGAGGCACGAAAGCUGGGGGAGCAAACAGG